UGCCGGCCGGACACCUGG
rnacentral:misc_RNA from 1 species